GAGCACGUAGGUGGGUUUGUAAGUCAGAUGUGAAAGCCUUCUGUUCAACGGGAGAAUUGCAUCUGAAACUACAGACCUUGAGUGUAGGAGGGGAGAAUGGAACUUCUGGUGGAGCGGUGAAAUGCGUAGAUAUCAGAAGGAACGCCGGCGGCGAAAGCGAUUCUCUGGCCUAUUACUGACACUCAGUGUGCGAAAGCUAGGGGAGCAAACGGGAUUAGAUACCCCGGUAGUCCUAGCCGUAAACGAUGGGCACUAAGUAGAGGGGUUA
rnacentral:rRNA from 1 species